GAGAGCUGGCUCUGGUGUCAAUGGCACAGGAGAGCUGGAGUGCACGAAGGGACCAGUCCUGCAGGAUCUCCAUGACACAGGGCAACGAUAGUCCUACCAACUGGAGUGUCUCCUUCCUGAGCAUUCAGCCUACAAUCCCAAGGGACUGAGUUGGCUCCAGUGCAGUAUACAUGGAAGUGGUACUUGCUCUUUGGGGCUUGGCCUCAGAACUAUCCUGGCUCAGGCAAUGUGGGCAGGAGAGAAAAGGCCAGAGGGAUGGUUCUCAGGAGAACACAGUAUGAAGUUGCUUACCUGCAGUCAACAAAAUGUCCUCAGACAUCCACUUCGGGGUGUAUUCCACUGCUACUGUGUAUGCAUUCAGCGAGGCAUCUUAUCUAUGUGACCAUUCAGAUACUAUACACAGGUUCAUACCAAGAAUAUGCUAAGGCAACUGACUAUAUAUACUGUGUCAACUACAUAGCUCUUGAAAGUGUAUGAUUUAGUAACUUCCUAAUCACGAUAUCUUAUAAAGAGCAGUGUGAUUUUAAAUUUACUGUUUUAAUUAAUUGUCCAGUGUUUAAAAAAAUGAACUGAAGCCUGACUGAUUGUAUAAUUUUAAUAUUUGAAAAUGUACACAAAUAAACUCAACACAAUACAGAUUUAUACAAAAGAAGGACUUCUAAAAACAUACAGAAAAAAUAAAUAAUAGGUUUUUAAAAAAAGGACAAGACAUUUUAUAAAUACUAAUAAAUACUGUGCAAUGCUUUAAUUUACUAUGGCAGAUAGAAAAACUCAAGAAAUCAUUAAUAGGUUGUAUAUUUAAAAAGCUACAAGAAUUUUCUAGCUGAUUAAAAUAAAAUGUAACAGUAGUAGUUUUUACUUUUAAAAUGAGGUAUUAUUACAUUGUAAACCAAAACAGAGCAUAAAUAUAUGGUUUAGCAAUUAAUGGUUAUCAACUUCAACUUAAUAAAAGACAACAAAAAUUCCCAUUAUUUAUGGACUUUUGUCACCUAAAAUUUGGCUUGCCUGUGUACUUGCAAAAGUGACAUAGCUACCAAUACACACACAUCGUUAGACAUGCAGACCAAACCAAUACUAUUUCCAUGAGUCAUCCCUAACAAAUAAAAACUUUGUUUACAUUUUACUGAAAACACUUAAAUCUGGUUUCCUAUACAUAAUUCUUUGUGCUUGUUAGUAGGAACCUACAUUAAACAUUUCUACGCAGUGCAAGAGAGAAGCAGUUUUAUUUGCAUAUGGAUUAAAGACAAUAUACACACCAAACCAACUGUACCUUUAGCUGUCUUAGGCUUCCCACGAUUUAAAGAACAACUACCCUUCUGGUAAACUCACAUGGGAAAGUAGUCAUUUGCAGUCUCAAGCGUUACAGGAAGGAAGCUGGGUUUUCUAACACGGGUGGGUGGGCUUCGGAACUAUAGGACGCUGAUGAGUUACUGCACCCUUGAAUUCUGCUGGUUGGGUGCAGAAAGCACAGCGACAAGGAAAUGCCUAGCUCAGGGGAGCCUCGGGCCAAGUAUGAUUUGCACAUGGGCCAUAUGCUGGUACUAAAUGCUGGUUUCAUUCUUAUUGCAAAUGUCACUUCAGAGUUUUCUGAAGAAAAACUAUCAAAGAAUAAUUCUUGAGAUGAAAAUAUUUGUGACAUGCUAAUAAAACUGCUUCACUAUAAAUUAAAACAAAACAAAACAAAACAAAACAAAAAUCCCUGGGGCUUAAAAAUACAGUUUUUACAUGCUAUUUUAUUAUAAAUAGAAAACAAGGGUACUUUUGGAUUUACUAUAUUUAGAAUCCAGUGAAAAACACACAUUUUAGCCAAAAUGUCAAACUUCUUUUUUAUAUCAAGCUACAUCAUUUUGACAUAAAUGUUUUUAAUUGUAUUUCACUUUUGUCAAAUAUCCUACAUUUUCCAAAAAUUAGUGUUUUCAUAUAACUGGUGAUCAAAAAUUGUAGAUAUAAGCAGUACAUCAAAAUAUAUAAAAUAGCAGGGCUUCUUUUGUGCUUGUAAUUAUUUUAAGUAAUCAAUGACUAGUUUGGUCUAGUUUGCUCUACUAUAUUGAUUUUUAAGAAGAAAUAACCAUUAUACAAACAUUACAGAAUACUCAAGUAACCAAUUUACUGUCAGUGGGCAUGCAGACUAACAAUACUUAAAAGAAUAUAACCUUGAAUCCAAUUGGUCUGAAAAUACUCUUGUACAAUCAUCUUUGUUGAUUUGUAAAAGCUGUACACACAUCUAAAACCCUAAAUUUACUUUGUAAAAAUAAAUCUUUAGCAAUAAAUGGCACUAU
ensembl:processed_transcript 1500017E21Rik RIKEN cDNA 1500017E21 gene